AUUCGAUUAGAGUUUGAUCAUGGCUCAGGACGAACGCUGGCGGCGUGCUUGAUACAUGCAAGUCAAGGAGAACAUUAUCUUCGGAUAAUAAGUAAACUGGCGAACGGGUGAGUAACGCGUAAACAACUUGCCUCAGAGAUUGGGACAACAUUGGGAAACCAGUGCUAAUACCAAAUAAUGCAGCGGGCUCUUCGGAGCACAGUUGUUAAAGUAGGCUUCGGCUUACACUUUGAGAUAGGUUUGCGUCCGAUUAGUUAGUUGGUAGGGUAAAAGCCUACCAAGACCAAGAUCGGUAGCUGGUCUGAGAGGAUGAUCAGCCACACUGGAAUUGAGAUACGGUCCAGACUCCUACGGGAGGCAGCAGUAAGGAAUUUUGCACAAUGGGCGAAAGCCUGAUGCAGCAACGCCGCGUGAACGAUGAAGUUUUUAGGAAUGUAAAGUUCUGUCGUAUGGGAAGAAAUCUUUCGAAUGUUAAUACCAUUCGUUAAUGACGGUACCAUACAAGAAAGCACCGGCUAACUUCGUGCCAGCAGCCGCGGUAAGACGGAGGAUGCAAGUGUUAUCCGGAAUCACUGGGCGUAAAGCGUCUGUAGGUGGUUUGAUAAGUCAACUGUUAAAUCUUGAGGCUCAACUUCAAAAUCGCAGUCGAAACUAUUAGACUAGAGUAUAGUAGAGGUAAAGGGAAUUUCCAGUGGAGCGGUGAAAUGCGUAGAUAUUGGAAAGAACACCGAUGGCGAAAGCACUUUACUGGGCUAUUACUAACACUCAGAGACGAAAGCUAGGGUAGCAAAUGGGAUUAGAUACCCCAGUAGUCCUAGCCGUAAACUAUGGAUACUAGAUGUUGAACAGAUCGACCUGUGCAGUAUCAAAGCUAACGCGUUAAGUAUCCCGCCUGGGAAGUAUGCACGCAAGUGUGAAACUCAAAGGAAUUGACGGGGGCCCGCACAAGCGGUGGAGCAUGUGGUUUAAUUCGAUGCAACGCGAAGAACCUUACCAGGGUUUGACAUGAUACGAAUUUCUUUGAAAGAAGAAAGUGCCGUUUGGAGCGUAUACACAGGUGGUGCAUGGCUGUCGUCAGCUCGUGUCGUGAGAUGUUGGGUUAAGUCCCGCAACGAGCGCAACCCUCACUUUUAGUUGCCAUCAUUAAGUUGGGCACUCUGAAAGAACUGCCAGUGAUAAGCUGGAGGAAGGUGGGGAUGACGUCAAGUCCUCAUGGCCCUUACGUGUUGGGCUACACACGUGCUACAAUGGUAUCUACAACAGGAAGCAAGACUGCGAGGUCAAGCAAAUCCUUAAAAGAUACCUCAGUUCGGAUUGCACUCUGCAACUCGAGUGCAUGAAGCUGGAAUUACUAGUAAUCGUGGAUCAGCGUGCCACGGUGAAUGCGUUCCCGGGUCUUGUAGACA
rnacentral:rRNA from 1 species